CGGAUGACAUGCAGCAGUUGGCAUUUGAACAGGUCGCUUUGUAGGACCGGCAAGAGGCAGUAACUGCCACCUCGGGGCUAUUACUUUCAGAGAGAAAAGAAAAGCUAUGAGCUUACAACUUCGUGGAUUCGUUUGGCGUUUCCCUCGAGGCUGAUCAGAAAGGAAUGAAAGAAAUCUUUUCUCCCAUUUCCCUAGGACCUUGCUAUAAACGCAGAGGUUUUCAAGUUCCAGUGUGCAAAAGAAUUACCCAAGGAGCUGGCUGAAAAUACAAACUCCAGGGUCCUGCCAUCUAGAUUCUGAGAUGAGGAAACCGAGGCACAGAGAAGUAUAGCAACUUACCCAAGGUCGCUCAGCCAGUGAGUGGCACAGCCAGGAUUUGAAUUCAGGCAGCAAGCUGUAGAGUCUGUUCUUGACCCUGUACUCAAUAACCUCAAGCAGAAACUGUGCAGACGGUGACCACACGAACUGAACACUGAAUCCUUUCUAAUUUUGGACCAAAUCCUGGGAUAUUUAUAAGAUCCACAGAGAGGAGAGGACUCUGAAAUUGAUCAUUGUUGAACUUACUGUCUACAUGAAAAGGUAUGACUUGAUUUAGAAAAGUAAAGAAAUGAGUCAUAUCUUUAUUAUUAUUUUUUUAUGGUGGCUGGCCAUAAACCCAUGACCGUGGUGUUAUAAGACUCGCUCUAACCAACUGAGCUAACCAGCCAGCCCAGAAAUGGAACAUAUCUUGCACCUCAAGAGUUCUGAAGCAGUUUAUACCUGUGGCCCCCAUAAGAAUGCCAAAGUCACUUGAUUGCGUUUCGGAUUUGCUUUCUUUUUUAAUUUAAUUUUUCGAGUAGAUAUGACAUUGUAUUUAUAUAGUUAAAAAACCAAAACAAAUGUACCUUCCCUUUCCUAACCUUGUUCACUGUGUUCUCCCUCCCUCCUCAGAUGGCUACAUUUAGAAUUUUCUGUGUAUCCUUCUAGUGGUUCUUUAUCCAAAUACAACAAUCAGGUGUGUGUGUGUGGGUGCACGUGUGUGUGUGUGUGUGUGUGUGUGUGUGUGUGCGCAUUCUCCCUCCUUUAUCAAACAAAAGGUAGCGAACUAUACAUAUGGUUCUGUAUCUUGCUUUUUUCCACUAACAGUAUAUUCUGGAGAUCUUUCCAUAUCAGUACACAGAGAGCUUCCUCAUUAUUAUCAAUAUCUUUUACAACUGCAUAGUGGGAUGUGCUGGAAUCAGCUUGUACUGGUUCUGAAGAACUGAUUGUUAAGCGUUCAGAUAUUUUUUGGGCUGAUCAACUUCAUGUAGGUGGCUGGAAUGGGCCACGGUGGUAGUAUUUGCACAACAGAAGGGGGCAAACUCUAUACCUGAGGGCUUCCUUGGUCAACAUUUGAUACACUGCCCAUUGUAUGAAUAUAUUAGUUUAGUUAACUGGUC